AGAGUUUGAUCCUGGCUCAGAACGAACGCUGGCGGCGUGCUUAACACAUGCAAGUCGAACGCGAAAAUUUUCCUCGGAAAGUGAGUAGAGUGGCGCACGGGUGAGUAACGCGUAAGUUAUCUACCUCGGCAUCCGGAAUAACUCACCGAAAGGUGUGCUAAUACCGGAUACGUUGAGUAAUCAAGAAAGGUGGCCUCUGAAUAUGCUACUGUGCUGAGAUGAGCUUGCGUACCAUUAGCUAGUUGGUAGGGUAAUGGCCUACCAAGGCAACGAUGGUUAGCGGGUCUGAGAGGAUGAUCCGCCACACUGGAACUGAAACACGGACCAGACUCCUACGGGAGGCAGCAGUGAGGAAUAUUGCGCAAUGGGGGAAACCCUGACGCAGCGACGCCGCGUGGAUGAUGAAGGCCUUCGGGUCGUAAAAUCCUGUCAGAUGGAAAGAAAUGCAUGGUGGCUAAUACCUGCCAUGUUUGACGGUACCAUCGAAGGAAGCACCGGCUAACUUCGUGCCAGCAGCCGCGGUAAUACGAAGGGUGCAAGCGUUAAUCGGAAUUACUGGGCGUAAAGCGCGCGUAGGUGGUUCAGUAAGUUGGAAGUGAAAUCCCCGGGCUCAACCUGGGAACUGCUUUCAAAACUGCUGAGCUAGAGUACGGUAGAGGGUGGUGGAAUUUCCUGUGUAGCGGUGAAAUGCGUAGAUAUAGGAAGGAACACCAGUGGCGAAGGCGACCACCUGGACUGAUACUGACACUGAGGUGCGAAAGCGUGGGGAGCAAACAGGAUUAGAUACCCUGGUAGUCC
rnacentral:rRNA from 1 species